ACAAGAACAAUAAAAAAUACGAAACACCCAAUAAAAAUAAGACGUAACGACUCUGACAUAACAAGAACAACACGACAGAGACGCAGCUAACAGAUUUUUUUGGAGAGGAUGUGCUUUCCAGGGGCUUGCCCCGCAACCGGACACAGAACAAUAAAACUACCCCAAGGUAGCGCCUGUCACGGUUGGAUCAGCAAUGAUGAGAGUAGAUCAGCGCUCAAAAAAAUACGUUUGCUCUUGAUCCCGAAUGGGGAUCGCCAGUGACAAGAGGCAACGGUUGCCAAAAACAACAAUAGACCGCCCUCCAAUAACAAAAAAAGAGCACGCAACAAUCUUUGAGGGGAGCUUCGGCUCCCCUCAGUGCUUCCUGCCCUCCUCGUUUUGGUCAUCGU
rnacentral:sRNA from 1 species